rnacentral:rRNA from 1 species
GACGAACGCUGGCGGCGUGCUUAACACAUGCAAGUCGAACGGUAAGGCCCCUUCGGGGGUCCUCGAGUGGCGAACGGGUGAGUAACACGUGAGCAACCUGCCCUUGACUUUGGGAUACCAGCUGGAAACAGCUGCCAAUACCGGAUAUGACUUCUUCUCUCAUGGGUUGAGGUGGAAAGCUCCGGGGGUAAGGGAUGGGCUCGCGGCCUAUCAGCUUGUUGGUGGGGUAAGGGCUCACCAAGGCUUCGUCUGGUAGCCCGCCUGGGAGGGGGACCAGCCACACUGGGACUGAGAUACGGCCCAGACUCCUACGGGAGGCAGCAGGGGGGAGUAUUGCACAGUGGGCGCAAGCCUGAUGCAGCAGCGCCGCGUGCGGGAUGACGGCCUUCGGGUUGUAAACCGCUUUCAGUAGGGACGAAGCUAACGUGACGGUACCUACAGAAGAAGGACCGGCUAACUACGUG